GCAACAUGACAUGAUUCCAUCCAUGAAAUUCAACACGCUUGAUAUGUUUACACCCGUUGAUUUUCCAGCUAAUAAACGAUCGAGAUCUUCGAUUAAGAUCAUCGAUUUUGGCGUCGUUUGCAUCAGGAGUGUUUUCCAAUCUGAACCGUCGAUUAUCUUCGAAACAUCGAUGUCGUAGACGUCGUAACAGAGAAACUUCGCCAUCGCAGCGACGAAGCUUGAUUUACCGGUACCGGAAGCACCGUAGAGAAGGUAGCUUCUCUUCCAAACACGGCCUAAACGGUUGUAGUAUUGCUUUGACUUUAUGAACUGAUCUAGAUCUGUUUUCACUUUGUUUUUCAGUUCUGCGUCCAUUGCCACCGUUUCGAAGGUUGCUGGAUGAGUAAAUGGAACCGAUCGCCACCGGUAUGUUUCUCCAGCGACGGAAUUCAUAAACAAUUUUAUAUCCUUCUUCCUCCUUUGUUCAAGUUCGUCUGCUACUGAGAGAAUGU
rnacentral:lncRNA from 1 species